rnacentral:rRNA from 1 species
AAACCAACAGGGAUUACCUUAGUAACGGCGAGUGAAGCGGUAAAAGCUCAAAUUUGAAAUCUUCGGAAUUGUAAUUUGAUGGAUAAAAUUGCCACGGACAAAAGUUCACUGGAAAGUGACGCCGUAGAGGGUGAUAGCCCCGUUUACGUCCACCGACACUAUAAUUUUAUUCCAAAGAGUCGGGUUGUUUGGGAAUGCAGCUCAAAGUGGGUGGUAAAUUCCAUCUAAAGCUAAAUAUUGACGAGAGACCGAUAGCGAACAAGUACAGUGAUGGAAAGAUGAAAAGAACUUUGAAAAGAGAGUGAAACAGUACGUGAAAUUGUUGAAAGGGAAGGGGAGGGAAGAUGUUAAAGGGACUCCUUCUUUAGUAGGGAUCCCCCCAAGAGUCUUUCCUCUCGCCCGUCUUGAAACACG